GACGAACGCUGGCGGCGUGCUUAACACAUGCAAGUCGAACGAAGUGGCGAACGGGUGAGUAACGCGUAAUCAACCUUCCCUUCAGAGGGGGACAACCGUUGGAAACGCCUGCUAAUCCCGCAUCCUUAAGGAGGUGAUUGGGUCUGAUUAGCUAGUUGGAGGGGUACCGGCCCACCAAGGCGAGGAUCAGUAGCCGGUCUGAGAGGAUGAACGGCAACAUGGGGACUGAGACACGGCCCAGACUCCUACGGGAGGCAACAGUGGGGAAUCUUCCGCAAUGGACGAAAGUCUGACGGAGCAACGCCGCGUGAGUGAUGACGGCCUUCGGGUUGUAAAGCUCUGUUAAUCGGGACGCGGUACCGGAAUAGAAAGCCACGGCUAACUACGUGCCAGCAGCCGCGGUAAUAC
rnacentral:rRNA from 1 species